GUAAGAACCAAAGCGUAUGGUAGCGGCGAGAUCUUACAAGUUAAUCUCAAUCAAUCCGAUUGCCAUUGUACGUGUCUACAUGUAGAAUUUGACUCCCCAGUAAUUUAUAUUUAUAUAAACAGUAGAAGAACCAUCAAAUUCACUCUGUUCUGAACGCGAUGAUGAGGAAAACAACCAGAAGUAGCAUCGAUUGUGCAGUUGUUGAUGUUUGGAAACGGGCAGUGGGUGAACUCUCUACCAGAAAUUUCGCCCACCGUCUCGGUGCCUCAGAGGAUCUUGUGCUCCGGCUUGAUGUCUUCCGGAAGCUGGAGAAGCACCGGGGCUGUGUGAAUACGGUUAGCUUCAACCCUGAUGGUGAUAUAGUCAUAUCAGGUUCUGAUGACCGAAGGAUCAUACUCUGGGACUGGGAAACUGGGAAAAUUGCACUUUCAUUCCAUUCAGGUCAUCAUAACAAUGUCUUUCAAGCAAAAAUCAUGCCAUACACUGAUGAUCGAAGCAUUGUUACCUGUGCUGCAGAUGGACAGGUGAGACAAGCACAGAUUCUAGAACAUGGGAAGGUGGAAACAAAGUUGCUAGCCAAACAUCAAGGGCGAGCUCACAAAUUGGCAAUUGAACCUGCAAGCCCCCAUAUUGUUUACACUUGUGGAGAAGAUGGAUUAGUUCAACAUCAGAGACCUAAAGCA
rnacentral:misc_RNA from 1 species